rnacentral:tRNA from 1 species
UUGGCUAAAGCCAAAUAAGAGGCUAGUCAUUGUUACUGACUAAACUGGGAAACCCUAGCC